rnacentral:tRNA from 1 species
UUUAAUAUGGCAGAUAAGUGCAUUGGAUUUAAGAAUCAAAUAUAAAGUUAUAACCUUUUAUUAAAA